AAAAGCGGAAUAAGUUUCAGGAUUUACUUUAGAAGUCAUUGUCGGAUCUACAGAGAACCUGGGAAGGAAAUAACACAUUCUUCCCUCUACAGGGGAAAGUGUUGGGAAAACGCUGAGCUAACUGGGUGACUCCUCCCACUCUGUGUUAGGCAACUGGUUGAGAGGAAGUUCGCCCAGCUAUAAACAGUCCUGCAUUUCCUCUGAUCAACAUAAAGAGCUUUGCUCUGUUCAGAGGUGUGUUUACAACCCCGCGGCGGACAUUUUGAUAGGACAGACCCUCCACAUCAGCUGCAAUCAGAUGGAGAAAGCUUAAGGUUCACAGCAUUGUUUGGCAGGAUCCAGUGCAACGGCAGCAAAGAACAGAGCAGAGCAGAUCAAACCAGGUUGGGCUUUCAGAACCGGCCUCUACUCUGUUAUCACCAGCAUCACUGAUUAUUCACCUUUACACACCAAUAGCCCUCUAAACCCACUCGGCUGUCUUUGCCUGAGGAAAGCUUAAACCCAGCUCACACAAAGGAUGUUGGUUUGUAUUGUUUCCCUCAUUGUUGAGCCGUAAACGCCCAUUUCUCUCAGCCCCCCCGUCCUGACAACAUCUGACUGCUUGAAAUCAGAUCUUUUGUUGUCUCCCAGGAGGCUUCGCUCUCAUGGGAAUAUGAGGUGGCUGCUGACAACAAACAAGUCCUCCAACUUUUAGCUAAACAUCUGCAAACAGAGCUGGGUAGCAACUAGUUACAUCUACUUGACUAACUUUUUAAAAAAUUUACUUUAAUGAGUAUUUUUACUACUCUGUACUUUUUAC